AUUGAACGCUGGCGGCAUGCCUAACACAUGCAAGUCGAACGGAGAUAGGGGCAACCUUAUUUCAGUGGCGGACGGGUGAGGAAUGCGUCGGAAUCUGCCCUAUGGUGGGGGAUAACACAGGGAAACUUGUGCUAAUACCGCAUAAUGUCGAGAGACCAAAGCAGGGGACCGCAAGGCCUUGCGCGAUAGGAUGAAGCCGAGCCCGAUUAGGCUUGUUGGUAGGGUAAUGGCCUACCAAGGCGACGAUCGGUAGCUGGUCUGAGAGGAUGAUCAGCCACACUGGGACUGAGACACGGCCCAGACUCCUACGGGAGGCAGCAGUGGGGAAUA
rnacentral:rRNA from 1 species